rnacentral:rRNA from 1 species
AUUGAACGCUGGCGGCAGGCCUAACACAUGCAAGUCGAGCGAGCGGCGGAUGGGUGAGGAAUGUCGGGGAAACUGCCUGAUGGAGGGGGAUAACUACUGGAAACGGUAGCUAAUACCGCAUACCAUCAGAUGUGCCCAGAUGGGAUUAGCUAGGAGGUGGGGUAACGGCUCACCUAGGCGACGCUCCCUAGCUGGUCUGAGAGGAUGUCCAGCCGCACGGAAACGGAGACCCGGUCCCGACUCCUACGGGACGCAGCGGUGGGGAAUAUUGCACAAUGGGCGCAAGCCUUAUGCAGCCAUGCCGCGUGUGUGAAGAAGGCCUUCGGGUUCUAAAGCACUUUCAGCGGGGAGGCGUUACCCGCAGAAGAAGCACCGGCUAACUCCGUGCCAGCAGCCGCGGUAAUUC